ACAAGUGUUGAAACACCAGUUCUCAUACGAUAACCAAAGUUAAGCAAUUUUGUGCCUGCUUAGUACCUAGAUGGGUGACUGCUUGAAAAUACUGUGCUG